CUGUGAGGUAUGCUGGAGGUAUCAGAAGUGCGAAUGCUGACAUAAGUAACGAUAAAGCGGGUGAAAAGCCCGCUCGCCGGAAGACCAAGGGUUCCUGUCCAACGUUAAUCGGGGCAGGGUGAGUCGACCCCUAAGGCGAGGCCGAAAGGCGUAGUCGAUGGGAAACAGGUUAAUAUUCCUGUACUUGGUGUUACUGCGAAGGGGGGACGGAGAAGGCUAUGUUGGCCGGGCGACGGUUGUCCCGGUUUAAGCGUGUAGGCUGGUUUUCCAGGCAAAUCCGGAAAAUCAAGGCUGAGGCGUGAUGACGAGGCACUACGGUGCUGAAGCAACAAAUGCCCUGCUUCCAGGAAAAGCCUCUAAGCAUCAGGUAACAUCAAAUCGUACCCCAAACCGACACAGGUGGUCAGGUAGAGAAUACCAAGGCGCUUGAGAGAACUCGGGUGAAGGAACUAGGCAAAAUGGUGCCGUAACU
rnacentral:rRNA from 1 species